rnacentral:rRNA from 1 species
UACGAAGGGUGCUAGCGUUGUUCGGAAUCAUUGGGCGUAAAGCGCACGUAGGCGGCCUCAUAAGUCGGAUGUGAAAUCCCUCGGCUCAACCGAGGACGUGCAUCCGAAACUGUGAAGCUCGAGUAUGGAAGAGGGUCGCGGAAUUCCCGGUGUAGAGGUGAAAUUCGUAGAUAUCGGGAGGAACACCGGUGGCGAAGGCGGCGACCUGGGUAGAUACUGACGCUGAGGCGCGAAAGCGUGGGGAGCAAACAGG